GGUCUAAACCAGGACUAAACCAGGACUAAACCAGGACUAAACCAGGUCUAAACCAGGUCUAAAACAGGACUAAACCAGGUCUAAACCAGGACUAAACCAGGUCUAAACCAGGUCUAAACCAGGUCUAAACCAGGACUAAACCAGGACUAAACCAGGACUAAACCAGGUCUAAACCAGGUCUAAACCAGGUCUAAAUCCUCGUCUUUUAUCAAUAAUAUUUUUAAUUUGGUUCAGUAAAGUUUGGACUUUUCAUUUUCUUUUAUCAAACAAAACUUCUUGUUUUAACAUUUUCUCGUCUUUGUUUCUCUACAGUAAAUCAAGUAAUCCAAAGUAAUCAGAUUACAUUACUCACUUUAAGUCAUUUAAUGGAUUACGUUACAAACUACAUUCUGGUGUGUGUAAUCUGUAAUCUGUAAUCUGUAGGGGAUUACAUUUUAAAAGUAACUUCCCAACACUGUCCAAGAGCCACGAAACACCAAAAACACUUUAAUACUGAUGUGAAUGAGUCAGGGACAAAUAAAAACGACUUUGUGAAGAGAAGAAAGAUGCAGAGAACAAACCUGAACCUCACCUGUAAAUAAUGAAGAGAAAUAUUUAAUUUAAGGUUUGGAAUAAAAUGGAGAAAAACCAAA